UCAUAAAUAGAUAGACGGCCCAUUUAAGGGCUCCAUAGAUCAACCAAAUUCGCUGCAGUGGGUUUACCCGGAUCCGACUCCAAUCUUCCAAGUCCUUAAACCCCUCAAAUUCAUGCAUAAAAAGACCUUUAUCUUUCAUGGCGUUUCUGAAAUUAGUUUUUAAAAUGGCAGUUUCUUAUCCACAAUUUUCGAGUGUAUCUGCACAACCUUAGUUCCUGCUAUGAUGUCUCACUUACUUGAUUCUCCGGCCGCCAAUGGCUUUCAGGUUUUAAGACAGUUGACCAAGUCUAAUAUGUGCAUUUUGAGCACCAAAUCAUACGGGACACGUCCAAUUGCAAGACCUAGAAUAGCCUGCAAUAUGAACGUAGUAGCUGGACAAUCUGAUGAACCUCACAAAUUUAACUUGGAGAACAUAAUAGACCGGACAAGGAAAUUGUGGGACAGCUAGCACUCUGCUAAAGUUGCCGGGACCGUAUUAUCCAUAUUGGGGUCGAGUUUUUAUUCCACAUUUUGCAAAUCGGGCAUUGUUUAGAACUCUGUGGUUUGCUUUCCUCUGUUACAGAAGGCCUAAGAAGUCAUUAGAAAAGGCCCUGCCUGAUUUAAUAGUUGCUAAUCCUGAACAGAAGGAGCUCUAACUUUUUGGCGACGAAGUAUUUGAACUGGGGCAAAUCACUAUUUUUGGCAAAUUGUACCACAGCAGUCAAUUGGUCUGGCUAUUGGAUCAACCAAGUUUGAAGUUCUUAGAUCUUCACUUGUAAUGCUCAACCUUGUGACUUCCUUCAGUUCUGGGAAUACAAAUCCUUUUUUGCUGAACAGUGUAUCGAUCAGGUUCUCCAAGGCUAGGCCUGAGGUGUCAAUCGAAAUCCAUCCCAAGGUGAAUACGAAGCCCUAUUAGAACACGUAGCAGCUCUUUCGUCUCCACAAUUCUUCUGCAUAUCAAAGUUGAAUGGAUCGUUGCCACUGCCACAACAUGCCUUCAUCAAAGUCUUCAUCUUGAAUCCCAGGAAUGCGUGGUAUUUAAGAACAGCCAUGAAUGCUUUGUAGUAAUCCACAUAUAUGAUGUGAACUUCAGGGUAUUUCAAACGCAGCUCCAUAAUUGCUUGCCACAGGUGAUCGUUGUGAAGCUUCGAAAACAUAUUAAGUCCUUGGUGGCAUCUAUGUUUUGCCAGUUGAAUUGCCCUCGGGAAAUAAAGUCCUAAAACCAGGAAAGCAGCCAAUGGGUAGAAUUCUAGAAACCAUGAGAGUUUUGGCUCCAGCUUCGUUGAUGAGUCUUUCUAUUGAAUUCUUAAUUGUCUCCACCACUUCAGGCACGAGAUGGGACGAUUUUGAAAUAGAUUUCCAAGUAAGAAGGCAUGCUUGUAGUCAUUGAUGCCGGGUUGAUCCAUAAAGAUGAGCGUCUUCUGAAGAACCUUAUUGUUUCUGCCGCAGUCUUGAAAAGAGAAGCAGUCUUCAUAGAAGAACUUCAUGAAGGUAGAAAUCUUAGAUAGGUCAUGGUGACUGUGGAGGUGGUGGGAUGCCAUUCUUGAGGAAGAACAAAGGCUUCAUGAUGGUUGCUCCGGGCGUCGCAAAACUCAGGUCAGACUCGAAGAACUCAGUGCCUCGUUGAGUGUAUGGUUGCGGAGAAGCAAACUGAGGGUUACAACAACAUGAUUAGCAGCUGACGAUGAAGAAGAGUCGCCAUCACCGAAACUGUAUAUGGAAUUAAAGGGACCAACAGUUUCUUUCGUCUCGGUGAAAGACGGAACUACAUGAUCAACAAGACAAGUAAAUAGUAAUACCAAGAGAAACAAACGAUGGCUGCUUCCCGUUGAAGCAAAGCAAGAAAGAGCAAAUUGAUAAACACACUAUGGUUUGCAAAAUUGUAAGCCGGUGGAUACAAUAUUUACAGAGGUGCAAUAUAAAUUGUUUCCAAGUAGGAUUAGGAGAAUAGCUAUCGUUUUACUUUGAGGAAAGUAUCGAAUUAGUCACGUAGCUGUAUUUCUUUUUC